rnacentral:rRNA from 1 species
AUUGAACGCUGGCGGCAGGCCUAACACAUGCAAGUCGAGCGGAUGAAGAGAGCUUGCUCUCUGAUUUAGCGGCGGACGGGUGAGUAAUGCCUAGGAAUCUGCCUGGUAGUGGGGGAUAACGUUCCGAAAGGAACGCUAAUACCGCAUACGUCCUACGGGAGAAAGCAGGGGACCUUCGGGCCUUGCGCUAUCAGAUGAGCCUAGGUCGGAUUAGCUAGUUGGUGAGGUAAUGGCUCACCAAGGCGACGAUCCGUAACUGGUCUGAGAGGAUGAUCAGUCACACUGGAACUGAGACACGUUCCAGACUCCUACGGGAGGCAGCAGUGGGGAAUAUUGGACAAUGGGCGAAAGCCUGAUCCAGCCAUGCCGCGUGUGUGAAGAAGGUCUUCGGAUUGUAAAGCACUUUAAGUUGGGAGGAAGGGCAGUAAGUUAAUACCUUGCUGUUUUGACGUUACCGACAGAAUAAGCACCGGCUAACUUCGUGCCAGCAGCCGCCGUAAAAC